rnacentral:snRNA from 1 species
AGCUUUGUGCAGUGGCAGUAUCGUAGCCAAUGAAGUUUAUCCAAGGCGCAAUUAUUGUUAAUUGAAAAAUAUUACCCUUGUAAAGGAAAAAAACUUUAUUCUUUAAUAACUUCUGAUGUGUCUUAAAUUAU